rnacentral:misc_RNA from 1 species
GGUAACUGUUACAGUUACC